UACGGGGGGGGCAAGCGUUGUUCGGAAUUACUGGGCGUAAAGGGCGCGUAGGCGGCCUGCUAAGUCGGACGUGAAAUCCCCCGGCUCAACCGGGGAACUGCGUCCGAUACUGGUGGGCUCGAAUUCGGGAGAGGGAUGUGGAAUUCCAGGUGUAGCGGUGAAAUGCGUAGAUAUCUGGAGGAACACCGGUGGCGAAGGCGGCAUCCUGGACCGACAUUGACGCUGAGGCGCGAAAGCCAGGGGAGCAAACGGG
rnacentral:rRNA from 1 species